CUAAGCCUCAUUUAAGGACUGGCUGCCACAAGGAGAGGUUCUCUAGCUGGAGAUCCCUUCUUUUGAAGUAUCUGGGGUGCUGUGAUCCUUGGGACUGUGGUUUUCACUGAAGAAUGUGUAUGUGACGUUGCAUGUUACCAAGAGGUGAAAUUAACGUAGAAACGAAAUAUUAACCAAAGAAGACCAAAGGGAAGGGAGGACAACAGAGGAAGAAAGAAGAAAAAAAAAAUAAAAUAAUGGAGGAAAAAAGCCAAAGCCAUCUGUGAAGAGUGCUGCUUAGCAGGACACUGAGGCUUCCUUUUAUUCAGGAGUUUGCAGCACAGGAGGUCUCCAGGCAGCAUCUUCCAUUGAUUUCAUAAAUCUUUAAAACAAAACCUUAUGCUACCUGCAUGUCUGAAACUCCAUAAUAACAAAAUGGACAGAUUAAACAGACUUGGUUUGAAAGAGGAG
rnacentral:lncRNA from 1 species